rnacentral:rRNA from 1 species
GAGUUUGAUCCUGGCUCAGGACGAACGCUGGCGGCGUGCUUAACACAUGCAAGUCGAACGGAAAGGCCCUGCUUUUGUGGGGUGCUCGAGUGGCGAACGGGUGAGUAACACGUGAGUAACCUGCCCUUGACUUUGGGAUAACUUCAGGAAACUGGGGCUAAUACCGGAUAGGAGCUCCUGCUGCAUGGUGGGGGUUGGAAAGUUUCGGCGGUUGGGGAUGGACUCGCGGCUUAUCAGCUUGUUGGUGGGGUAGUGGCUUACCAAGGCUUUGACGGGUAGCCGGCCUGAGAGGGUGACCGGCCACAUUGGGACUGAGAUACGGCCCAGACUCCUACGGGAGGCAGCAGUGGGGAAUAUUGCACAAUGGGCGGAAGCCUGAUGCAGCAACGCCGCGUGCGGGAUGACGGCCUUCGGGUUGUAAACCGCUUUCGCCUGUGACGAAGCGUGAGUGACGGUAAUGGGUAAAGAAGCACCGGCUAACUACGUGCCAGCAGCCGCGGUGAUACGUAGGGUGCGAGCGUUGUCCGGAUUUAUUGGGCGUAAAGGGCUCGUAGGUGGUUGAUCGCGUCGGAAGUGUAAUCUUGGGGCUUAACCCUGAGCGUGCUUUCGAUACGGGUUGACUUGAGGAAGGUAGGGGAGAAUGGAAUUCCUGGUGGAGCGGUGGAAUGCGCAGAUAUCAGGAGGAACACCAGUGGCGAAGGCGGUUCUCUGGGCCUUUCCUGACGCUGAGGAGCGAAAGCGUGGGGAGCGAACAGGCUUAGAUACCCUGGUAGUCCACGCUGUAAACGGUGGGUACUAGGUGUGGGGUCCAUUCCACGGGUUCCGUGCCGUAGCUAACGCUUUAAGUACCCCGCCUGGGGAGUACGGCCGCAAGGCUAAAACUCAAAGGAAUUGACGGGGCCCCGCACAAGCGGCGGAGCAUGCGGAUUAAUUCGAUGCAACGCGUAGAACCUUACCUGGGUUUGACAUGGAUCGGGAGUGCUCAGAGAUGGGUGUGCCUCUUUUGGGGUCGGUUCACAGGUGGUGCAUGGCUGUCGUCAGCUCGUGUCGUGAGAUGUUGGGUUAAGUCCCGCAACGAGCGCAACCCUUGUUCACUGUUGCCAGCACGUUAUGGUGGGGACUCAGUGGAGACCGCCGGGGUCAACUCGGAGGAAGGUGGGGAUGACGUCAAGUCAUCAUGCCCCUUAUGUCCAGGGCUUCACGCAUGCUACAAUGGCUGGUACAGAGAGUGGCGAGCCUGUGAGGGUGAGCGAAUCUCGGAAAGCCGGUCUCAGUUCGGAUUGGGGUCUGCAACUCGACCUCAUGAAGUCGGAGUCGCUAGUAAUCGCAGAUCAGCAACGCUGCGGUGAAUACGUUCCCGGGGCUUGUACACACCGCCCGUCAAGUCAUGAAAGUUGGUAACACCCGAAGCCGGUGGCCUAACCGUUGUGGGGGAGCCGUCGAAGGUGGGACUGGUGAUUAGGACUAAGUCGUAACAAGGUAACC